rnacentral:rRNA from 1 species
GACGUAGGAGGCAAGCGUUAUCCGGAUUUACUGGGCGUAAAGCGUGUGCAGGCGGUUUGGUUAGUUGGAUGUGAAAGCUCCUGGCUUAACUGGGAGAGGUCGUUCAAUACUGCCAGACUUGAGGAUGGGAGAGGAAGGUGGAAUUCCGAGUGUAGUGGUGAAAUGCGUAGAUAUUCGGAGGAACACCAGUGGCGAAAGCGGCCUUCUGGCCCAUUUCUGACGCUCAUACACGAAAGCUAGGGGAGCAAACGGG